rnacentral:rRNA from 1 species
AGCUGCAUUAUUGACGUAAGCGACAGAUGAAGCACCGGCUACUCCGUGCCAGCAGCCGCGGUAUACGAGGGUGCGAGCGUUAAUCGGAAUUACUGGCGUAAAGCGCAUGCCAGCUGGUUGUUAAGUCAGAUGUGAAAGCCCGGGGCUCAACCUCGGAAUUGCAUUUGAAACUGGCAGACUAGAGUACUGUAGAGGGGGGUAGAAUUCAGGUGUAGCGGUGAAAUGCGUAGAGAUCUGAAGGAAUACCGGUGGCGAAGGCGGCCCCCUGGACAGAUACUGACACUCAGAUGCGAAAGCGUGGGGAGCAAACAGGAUUAGAUACCCUGGUAGUCCACGCCGUAAACGAUGUCUACUUGGAGGUUGUGGCCUUGAGCCGUGGCUUUCGGAGCUAACGCGUUAAGUAGACCGCCUGGGGAGUACGGUCGCAAGAUUAAAACUCAAAUGAAUUGACGGGGGCCCGCACAAGCGGUGGAGCAUGUGGUUUAAUUCGAUGCAACGCGAAGAACCUUACCUACUCUUGACAUCCAGAGAACUUUCCAGAGAUGGAUUGGUGCCUUCGGGAACUCUGAGACAGGUGCUGCAUGGCUGUCGUCAGCUCGUGUUGUGAAAUGUUGGGUUAAGUCCCGCAACGAGCGCAACCCUUAUCCUUGUUAGCCAGCGAGUAAUGUCGGGAACUCCAGGGAGACUGCCGGUGAUAAACUUGAGGAAGGUGGGGACGACGUCAAGUCAUCAUGGCCCUUACGAGUAGGGCUACACACGUGCUACAAUGGCGCAUACAGAGGGCAGCCAACUUGCGAAAGUGAGCGAAUCCCAAAAAGUGCGUCGUAGUCCGGAUUGGAGUCUGCAACUCGACUCCAUGAAGUCGGAAUCGCUAGUAAUCGUGGAUCAGAAUGCCACGGUGAAUACGUUCCCGGGCCUUGUACACACCGCCCGUCACACCAUGGGAGUGGGCUGCAAAAGAAGUAGUGUAGUCUAACCUUCGGGGGGACGCCUACUACCA